AUUGAACGCUGGCGGCAGGCCUAACACCUGCAAGUCGAACGAGUGGCGGACGGGAGAGUAAUGUCUGGGAAACUGACUGAUGGAGGGGGAUAACUACUGGAAACGGUAGCUAAUAACGCAUACCAUCGGAUGUGCCCAGCUGGGAUUAGCUAGGAGGUGGGUUAAAGGCUCACCUAGGAGACGAUCCCUAGCGGGUCUGAGAGGAUGACCAGCCACCCUGGAACUGAGACACGGUCCAGACUCCUACGUUAGGCAGCAGUGGGGAAUAUUGCACAAUGGGCGCAAGCCUGAUGCAGCCAUGCCGCGUGUAUGAAGAAGGCCUUCGGGUUGUAAAGUACUUUCAGCGGGGAGGCGUUACCCGCAGAAGAAGCACCGGCUAACUCCGUGCCAGCAGCCGCGGUAAUUC
rnacentral:rRNA from 1 species